CUACCGGGGUAUCUAAUCCUGUUUGCUCCCCUAGCUUUCGUGCCUCAGUGUCAGGAGUUGUCCAGGGACUCGCCUUCGCCACUGGUGUUCCACUUGAUAUCUACGCAUUUCACUGCUACACCAAGUAUUCCAGUCCCCCCUCCAACCCUCGAGCAGGAUAGUAUUCAAUGCAGUUUCCGGGUUAAGCCCGGAGAUUUCACAUCAAACUUACCCCGCCACCUACGCACCCUUUACGCCCAGUGAAUCCGAACAACGCUUGGGACCUCUGUAUUACCGCGGCUGCUGGCAC
rnacentral:rRNA from 1 species